GACGAACGCUGGCGGCGUGCUUAACACAUGCAAGUCGAACGGAAAGGCCCUGCUUUUGUGGGGUGCUCGAGUGGCGAACGGGUGAGUAACACGUGAGUAACCUGCCCUUGACUUUGGGAUAACUUCAGGAAACUGGGGCUAAUACGGGCUAGGAGCUCCUGCUGCAUGGUGGGGGUUGGAAAGUUUCGGCUGUUGGCGAUGUACUCGCGGCUUAUCAGCUUGUUGGUGGGGUAGUGGCUUACCAAGGCUUUGACGGGUGGCCGGCCUGAGAGGGGGACCGGCCACACUGGGCCGGGAAUGCGACACGGCCCCGACCGGGAGGGGACGGUGCGGAAGGGUGUAUUAGGGGAGGGGCGAUAAUCCAGCACAGCCGCGUCGGGGGAGUGGGGAUGGGGUUAGGGUUCCAAUUCCGCUUGACCCGGGAUGAGAAUGACGGUAACGGGAAAAGAAGCUCCGGCUAACUACGUG
rnacentral:rRNA from 1 species